UACAGAGGUCCCAAGCGUUGUUCGGAUUCACUGGGCGUAAAGGGUGCGUAGGCGGUCGGGUAAGUCUGAUGUGAAAUCUCACAGCUUAACUGUGAAACUGCAUUGGAUACUAUUCGGCUUGAGAGUUGGAGGGGGGACUGUAAUUCUUGGUGUAGCAGUGAAAUGCGUAGAUAUCAAGAGGAACACCAGUGGCGAAGGCGAGUCCCUGGACAACUUCUGACGCUGAGGCACGAAAGCUAGGGGAGCAAACAGG
rnacentral:rRNA from 1 species